rnacentral:rRNA from 1 species
GAUGAACGCUGGCGGUGUGCCUAAUACAUGCAAGUCGAGCGAACAGACGAGGAGCUUUUUCCUCUGCCGUUAGCGGCGGACGGGUGAGUAACACGUGGAUAACCUACUUCUAAUUCUGGGAUAAUUUCGGGAAACCGGUUCUGAUACCAGCUAAUAUAUUGUACGGCAUGGUUCAAUAGUGAUAGACGGCUUUGCUGUUAUUAAUAGAUGGUUCCGCGCCGCAUUAGCUAGUUGGUAAGGUAACGGCUUACCAAGGCAACGAUGCGUAGCCGACCUGAGAGGGUGAUCCGCCACACUGGAACUGAGACACGGUCCAGACUCCUACGGGAGGCAGCAGUGGGGAAUAUUGCGCAAUGGGCGAAAGCCUGACCGAGCAACGCCGCGUGGGUGAUGAAGGUCUUCGGAUCGUAAAACUCUUUUGUUAGGAAAGAACGACAGUGUAUGAAACUCUGGCCGUCUUGACGGUACCUAAUGAGAAAGCCACGGCUAACUACGUG